GCUGGCGUAGCUCAAUGGCAGAGCCCUGGUUUUGUAAACCAGUUGUUGCAGGUUCGACUCCUGUCGCCAGCUCCA
rnacentral:tRNA from 1 species